AACAAGGCGUACCUGCGGACCUGCGGAGGGAUCAUUACCGAGUUUACAACUCCCAAACCCCUGUGAACAUACCUAUACGUUGCCUCGGCGGAUCAGCCCGCGCCCCGUAAAACGGGACGGCCCGCCCGAGGACCCCUAAACUCUGUUUUUAGUGGAACUUCUGAGUAAAACAAACAAAUAAAUCAAAACUUUCAACAACGGAUCU
rnacentral:misc_RNA from 1 species